rnacentral:rRNA from 1 species
ACCUACGGGGGGCAGCAGUAGGGAAUUUUCGUCAAUGGGCGCAAGCCUGAACGAGCAAUGCCGCGUGAACGAGGAAGGUCUUCGGAUCGUAAAGUUCUGUUGAAGGGGAAAAAGAGCGGAGAGAGGAAAUGGUCUCCGAUUGAUAUUACCCUUCGAGGAAGUCACGGCUAACUACGUGCCAGCAGCCGCGGUAAUACGUAGGUGGCGAGCGUUAUCCGGAAUGAUUGGGCGUAAAGGGUGCGUAGGCGGCCUGCUAAGUCUGGAGUGAAAGGUACCGGCUCAGCCGGUACAGGCUCUGGAAACUG